GCCGGGGUGGCCCAGUCAGGUAAGGCGCGGGGUUGCUAACCCCGUUGCGCGUAAGCGCAUCCAGGGUUCAAAUCCCUGCCCCGGCGCCA
rnacentral:tRNA from 1 species